GACGAACGCUGGCGGCGUGCCUAAUACAUGCAAGUAGAACGCAGUUGCGAACGGGUGAGUAACGCGUCGGUAACUGCCUCAUAGCGGGGGAUAACUUAUGGAAACGAUAGCUAAUACCGCAUUCUGUGAGAUGGACCUGCGUUGCAUUAGCUAGUUGGAUAGGUAAAGGGUCACCAAGGCGACGAUACAUAGCCGAGCUGAGAGGGUGAGCGGCCACACUUGUACAUGGACACUGCCCAGACUCCUACGGGGGGCAGCAGGAGGUGAUCUUCGGCAAUGGACUGAAAGCUGACCGAGCAACGCCGCGUGAGUUAAGGAGGUUUUCGUAUCGUAAAGCUCUGUUGUUAGAGAAGCGUUAACUAACCAGAAAGGGACGGCUAACUACGUGCCAGCAGCCGCGGUAAUUC
rnacentral:rRNA from 1 species